CUCGCCUGGGACCUACGGGAAAGCAACUGGGUCGUGCUGAAGUAGACUUCAAGGCCUUUCUCCAUUUCCAGUGAUGGUUGAUUCUCUAAACUGCAGCUGCGGAUCUGGGAGAUUCCUCUUGGCCAACUGUGAGCUGUAAAAGACUAAGUAGGAGAUGUGUUAGGCACCAGGUGGGGUAUGCAGGUAGAGGCCCGGAAGGGGGCCUGGUCAGAAGAGGAGGGUCACUGGGAGCAUGGCCUGGACUGGUUUGUCUCUCUCCUCCCUUUGCUCUCCGCUUCCUGUCAUGCCAGGAGCAGCUCUCCUCUGCCAUGCGGUCCUGACUUGGAGCUGGACUGUAGACUGAAAUUCUCUUCAAGCCUUACAGAUUCUUCAGAGUGAGAUCCAGGCUACAAUACAACAGGCUCGAGAAAAACCCUUUAUGACGUUCCAGCUCCACGGUUUCAAGCCAGGAGACCUGGUCCUGAUAUGCCGACAUCAGACAGCCUCGAGCUGCAUUGGAAGGGGCCAUAUCCUGUUAUUUUGGUAACCCCCCUCCGCAAAGUAGCGGGGGGGGGCACAGCUUGGAUUCAUCACACCCAGGUCAAGUCAGCUCCAGCAGAGAGCCCAGAGCCAGCACGAUGGAAGAUUCUAAGCACCCCAGGAGACUUAAAAGUUAAAAUUGGGAAAAGAGGACUAGUACUCCUGGUAUACAUUCUCUAUCAAUCAUGUCAGCUCGGGGGAACAAAUAACUUGUUUCUUCCCUGUUCAGAAACUUGGGAAUUAAGACUAACUUCUAGUGGAAAAAAUCCUGGCAAAAAUAGAGGACCCAACCAAUCUGAGAUCACCUUUACUGCUAGCUUAUGUCAUAUGGUUGAGGAGGCCUCAUAUUAUGGGAACAGGGGCUGUAUGGAAUCUGGGUGCUGUACUCUCACUAAAUGGGGACUCCAUCCUGUCCAAUAUUAUGUAUGUCCAGAAAAUGAAGACCCAUAUUGUGAUGGUAACGGCAAUGACUAUCAUUGUGCCCAAUGGGGAUGUUGGACUAUAGCUCCUUGGUCCAUUCAAAUUAUAGAUCCCUGGUUAAAAAUGUCUCCCACCACCGUAUUAUCAUGAUAAAAACCUGUGAUACUGGCAUAUGUUAUCUGAUUACCAUUACACCCCAAAGAUUGGAAGAUCCUGGGUGGGUAACUGGAAGGACAUGGGGAAUUAGAUUAUAUGUAUCUUGGGUCAGAAUUUACCAUCCAGCAAGGUUGCCAGUGGGUUGAGCGACCUAUGGGGCCCAGCAAGGACUUUGCUCUACCUAUCCCCAUAGCAAGGCCUAAGCCUGUGCCCUCACCUACUCAGAAACCAGAACCCCCCCACUCUUCCAACUAUAUUACAAGAUAAACCCCCCACCCCUGUACUGGAAAUGUUGAUGAGCAUCCAUUUACUCAACAAAUCCAGCCCUGAGGAGGCUAAAGAUUGUUGGCUCUGCCUCGACCCCAGGCCCCCAUAUGAUUUGGGGUUGGGGCUCGUGGCUAUGGCAGACUUGUCCCCAACAGGUUGUGAUUGGAGCCACCCUCAACUCACCCUGGGGGACAUCCAAGGAAAAGGAACAAAUUACAGUUUGGAUACAUCACCUUAUAGAGAUCUGUGUAAUGAUAGUUAUAAUAAUCACCCUGCCUCAGGCCCCUGUUACUACAAGGCUCCAGAAGAUGCUUGGUUUGCUUGCACCAAGGGCUUGACUAAAUGUAUUCCCAAAUCAGUCUUGGCUACCCAAUGUGCCACUUUAUUUUGUGUCACCGUGUAUGUUGUUCCACAAGUCUUGUAUUAUAAUGGAAAAGGGGGCCGCAAACAUCUGGGAUUAACCACUGAACACUAUAGAAGUAAAUGGCUGUUCCCGUUUUAGUGCCCAUUUUGGUAGGAUUAGGAAUAGCCGGGUCAGCUAUUGGAACUUCCUCCCUGAUCCUUCAGGACAAAUUUUAAAGCCCUAAGCCACCAAGCAGCCAGAGAUUUGGGUCACCUGGAAGACUCGAUCUCCAGAUUAGAGAACCAGGUUGAUUCCCUAGCUGAGAUGGUCCUGCAAAAUCGAAGGGGACUUGACCUCCUGUUCAUGAAACAGGGAGGGUUAUGUGUAGCCCUAGGAGAAACCUGUUGCUUCUAUGCUAAUCAGUCUGGUGUCAUUAGAGAUACCUUAGCUACGGUCAGAGAAAAUUUAAAGACUAAAUAUGCUCAACAAAAGGAUCAAAAUUGGUUUCAGAAUCUAUUUGACUGGUCCCCAUGGUUAACUACCCUACUUUCUGCUGUAGCAGGCCCCUUAGUUAUCUUACUUCUGCUUUUGCUUGUGGGACCUUGUAUUAUAAAUGCUCUGACUAAAUAAAUAUGUUAGACAGUGGGUCGAUGCAGUUAAACUGAUGGUAAUAAACUCCUG
ensembl:lncRNA